rnacentral:rRNA from 1 species
AGCGAACGCUGGCGGCAGGCUUAACACAUGCAAGUCGAGCGGGCAUCUUCGGAUGUUAGCGGCAGACGGGUGAGUAACACGUGGGAACGUACCCUUCGGUUCGGAACAACUCUGGGAAACUGGAGCUAAUACCGGAUACGCCCUUAUGGGGAAAGGUUUACUGCCGAAGGAUCGGCCCGCGUCUGAUUAGCUAGUUGGUGGGGUAACGGCCUACCAAGGCGACGAUCAGUAGCUGGUCUGAGAGGAUGAUCAGCCACACUGGGCCUGAGACACGGCCCAGACUCCUACGGGAGGCAGCAGUGUGGAAUAUUGGACAAUGGGCGCAAGCCUGAUCCAGCCAUGCCGCGUGAGUGAUGAAGGCCUUAGGGUUGUAAAGCUCUUUUGUCCGGGACGAUAAUGACGGUACCGGAAGAAUAAGCCCCGGCUAACUUCGUG